AUGAACGGAUUGGUGUGGAAUUGUCGGGGAAUCGGCGGCUCCCGGACAGUUCGUGACCUUGUGACCCUCAAUCAAGUACACCCUCCUCGCUUUAUCUUCUUAUGUGAGACUAGACAAAGCAAAGAUAGAGUUCAGCGACUGCAUAACCGGCUUGGUCUGAAAGGCUUUGCUGGUGUGAGUAGUGAAGGGCUAAGUGGAGGAUUAGCCCUCUUCUGGGAUGAG
rnacentral:rRNA from 1 species